UACGAAGGGGGCUAGCGUUGCUCGGAAUUACUGGGCGUAAAGCGCGCGUAGGCGGUUUCUUAAGUCGGGGGUGAAAUCCUGGAGCUCAACUCCAGAACUGCCUUCGAUACUGGGAGACUUGAGUUCGGGAGAGGUGAGUGGAACUGCGAGUGUAGAGGUGAAAUUCGUAGAUAUUCGCAAGAACACCAGUGGCGAAGGCGGCUCACUGGCCCGAUACUGACGCUGAGGUGCGAAAGCGUGGGGAGCAAACAGG
rnacentral:rRNA from 1 species